CUUUGAGGCCAAAUCUUGCCCUUCUUACUUGGACAAAUCUCCCACUGAAGCCAAUUAGUUGUACUGGAGUUUAGCCUAGAUAAAAUUUUGGAUUGCAGACAUGCAACAUAAUUACAAGACAUUUGUUUUAAACCUAUUUGAAAUUAGAGUCUUACAGGGAGAGUAAGAGGCAGAUAAAUACCUUCAAACAUGAAAUGUUGAGGCAUGUUUUGAGUGAGUGCAGAAGAAUACGAAAGCAAAUAAUGUCUGGAAAGCAAAGAUUAUGAAUGCAGUAAACAACCAAGAAACUACAUGGCAUCGCAUCUAAGGAGUAUAGGAAGUAGGAAGGUCAUGGAAGACCAUCCCAGGGAGUUAAUCUCUUGGCCAACCAAAUUGUUAGCAUAAACCACCAGGUACUGUAGAUAAAUACAGAAAUGGGAACAGUUUGUCACAGUUGGACAGGACGCGUGUUCUGUGUUAACAUCAGAUUUGCUGUUCCUGAAAUUACACGGGUGUAAUUUUCUGCUGUUUGCUGAUAGAAACUGAGAAACAAGAAGCUGAGAUAAUAGAAAACAGUUCACACUAAUCAACUAAAGAAAUUAGUGCCUUGAUGCUUCAAGAUUUUUAAUCUAUUCAAUGCCCUUAGCAUCCUUUGAAAAUAUUACUGCCUCAAUAGGCAAGUGCAAAACAAUGGGAGGUAAUGCGCAGCAACAGAAGAUGACAGGGACUCACACAUCGUUCUGAUCAUUUCACAAAGUGAGUCCUGGUUUAAUGCUUUACACUGCAUGUUUGAGUUUGCCAUGUCACUUUGACCAUGCCAAAAUAUUUAUGAUAGAAUUAUAGACUUGAAAAUGAAGUUCUAGCCCAUCAGAAAUAGCUGAAACAUCUCUCUUCCAUUUAAUUCCUCUGAAUUUUGUUUUGGGAUUCCUGUCAGUGCUUACUAUGGUGCCUCUCUGCUUGUUUACUAUACAGAUUUACCAAGCUGCUCUGGAUUUGAUUUACAGAUCUCCCUUAUUCCACAGAACUCAUUUUGUCAAUUGAUAUCAGUGUAGUUCUCUUUUUUGUCCUUAAUGUCCCUGGAUUUGUCCAGUCAGUUCUGCUGCACACUACGAAUAUGGGGAUUUCCUUGCUUUCCCUGCUUUGCAGCGUCCUCUCUGCUUUCCGUUCCCUCCUACCAUUCUUGUGAGUGCCCAGUUAGGAUUUCCCUUUUCUCUCAAGUUUUUCUGGGAAAGGCUUUCCAACUAUUUUUUAGGAAGAAUCUUGCUCCUGAGCAGGCCUGGCUAGCAGCUGGACAAUCCACCCCCUUAAGGGGUAACAGUGACUGCUGUUAAAUGAGCUUUCUGACCUGGCAGGUCAGAGAUUAAGAGCAAGUUUGCAGGAUAUACAGCAAGUCAAGCUUCCUUCCCACAGGGUGAGUUGGGCAAGUGUCUUAACUCUUAUAGGACAGAUAGAGGCAUUUGCUAAAUAGUGUUUUAGUUACAGGUAAAUUUGAUAACUCUUUUUUUUGGACUAUUCAUAAAUGGAGAGGAAGCAAACCUAAUGGCUACAUCAUCGUUUUUAUCAUUCAAGGUUUAUGCUUCAACUAAUGUACUUGACAGCGAUCUUGUGUGCAGUAGAAGCUACUCUACUCUCUCUACAUUGCCAGCAUUUUUAUAUUGUUACUCAUUUUCUUGCAGUUGUGCAUAAUAGGACUGAUUUUGAAUUUGUGUGUUUGAGAGAUACAGAGAUAAAUACAGACAUGACCAGCAUUAUUUUUUUUUCUCCAGGACUGCUUAUGUUCAUACGUAGUUUGAGGUGCUAUCACUAAGUUACACUGCAGUGGGACCACUGCCCAAAUGCCUGGAUGGAAGCACAUUUCAGAUAACUCAGGCAUGGAUCUUAACCUGAAAAAAGCAGGAAAGCUCUACUGGAAGCAGGGAGCUAUGAUGAUUAGUGUCAGCUGAAGAGCCAUUCCAUAUUUCUUGUUCUUGCCAUUUCUGUCUUCCUACUUGGAAAGAUCAGAGGUUCUGACUUGCCAUCUCUUCCCAUGCCUCUCUUUGCAGACAAACAUAAGGGAAGGUGUUUCAACCCAAAUAAUGAACUGUGGCAGAAUACUUUGGAUUUAUUAUUAUUUAUCUGAAUUCAUUUUUUUUAAGCUUAUGAGUAAGAACAAAGUAGAUAGAAAACAAAUCGAGCAGAGAUCUGUGAGUUUUGGCUACAAGCAACUUGCAAACUGUGAGGAAUAAUAAUAAUAAAAAAAAUAAUCUUGCUGAUUUAGAAAGAAAAACACCAUCUCCACAGGCACUUCCCCCAGCUGUGGGCUAGAAGAACAACAGAUAAUCAGCAGGCAGAAAUGAAGGUCCAUGCUGAGGAUAAGAACAUAGCCUGGCUGUAAAACAGCCAAAGAGAGGUGGUUUGAUGGCUGAUAGCUACCCGAGAGCUGGGGAGCCUUUCAAUGUGGGACAGCAAAUGAGCCAAGAAUGCAUCUCUGAGCUGAUUUCAUUGGUCCUGUUCAAAAUCACUGAAAAUGUCUGUUCUCAUUUUCCAGUAAGUUUUAUGGGCUCCCUCCUGCUCUAUCGCUGCUAUGUGAGCCAAGCUUUUGUUUCUUGCCUGUAGGGUUUGAGAUUUGGCUGCCCAAGGUGAGGACCUAGCAGUCAGAAGAUAAACACCUCUGACUUGACAGAGGCCAGAUGGGACAUCUGUAUUUCCACUGAGAGAGUGAUUUCUAUUUAUGAAAAUAACAAAACCUACCUGUUGCCCAUGCUUUAGAGGAAAGAGAAUAACCAGUGUGUAUCAGACAGCAAAGUGGCACGUGAGUGACGAGCACCUUAGCAAAGGAGUUGAUAUUUCCUUCUGAAGAAGGAGAAGAAAUGGCAGCAGAGGGUUUGGCCAACUCAUCACGUAAGCUUCUCUUACAGUAGGAAUGAAAAAUUCAUUUAAAGGCUGCUUUCUCCAGCUCUGUAGUGGAGAACAUCUUCUCACUCUGUCUCCAUAUUUCUGCAUGGUGCUACUUCUGGUUUACAGAAAUUACCAAACAUGGUCAGAGCAGCUGUCACCCAUUUCUGAGAGCAGCCAGCGCCAAAAACUUGAGAGGUGAUUACAAAGCCAGCAGCCCAGGGAAAUCAUUCUCCCACUUUGCUAUUAAGCAGAGGUAGGUUUGUAUUCUGAAACAUGUUUUGAAGGAGAAAGGGUGUUACCAUGAAGUUACAGCUCAGAUGUCCUUGUUGCUCACAUGUGCAACAACCAGCUGCUUUGUGCUGCAGGAUUUAGGCAUACCUUGGGUGAGGAACUUAGACCAUUUCUUUGGAUACCCAUUGCCCAUCUUGUGAUUGCCAUCCUGCUUGCAACUUGCACAUUUUUGCUUACAUGCAUGGCUGCUUAACCUGGCCAGCAGAGGUUUUCCCACACAUCUCUGCUCCAAGCUUGUAGUAGAAGCAGUGUAAAGCUGAAGUAGCACGUCUGCUGAGGUGUAAGCCAUUUGGUAUAUCACACGAGGGAAAGCUUUACAAAGUGCUGGGAUAUAACAGGGCAGAGGGAAAUCAAUGGCCUAAAAGUAGGGCUCCUGAAGGAAAAAGAACAGUCUCACUUUCCAUCCUGUCAUCCACAUGUUAAGAUCAUAAGCGACCGAAAGCAGGUAAAAGCCCUGACAUUAAUCCCCUGUCAAAGAAUAGGAUUCCCAGUCAAGGAAAUGGAGGGGAUCAAAGUAAUGUAAUCUUCACCACGGCUGACUACAGAGAACUUCCAGCAGGGCUCUGAGAGUUUAUUUAAUUGAAGCAUCCUCUGUAGGAUUACUUCAGGUCUCUAGCUUAGCAGAAGAUAAGGUUGAAGGCACAGGUCUAAGCUUCAACAUACGAUUCUGCAAAUACAAAAUCAUAACAAUCCAUAUAGGAUAACGUUGUUGAUAUUCCAAUGGUCUGAAGAUUUAUGAAAAUAUCUUCUAUUUACUCAGCUGGAAACAAUCCUGUUCUUCUGGAGUUUUGUUACCCCAUAAAGCAUUCAGAGGAGACCCCAUAAUCAUUUCAAAGUCAGAAAUAUUAAGUGGAAUAACAAGGAUAAACCCUAUUCGCAUUGACUUUGAAGCACAAGAAACAUGUCCCCGUGGCCAUAGAAAAUUAUUGUGCUUUGAGCUGGGGUGGGAAGAAGCAGCUCUCGCACAGUUGUUUCAGGUGGUAGAAAGUCCAUAUUUCUUCUAACACAAAGGAGCCUGGUUUAAAAAUAAGUUAAAAUUGAGCACUGAAAUAGAUUACUAAAUUCCCACUGAAGUUCACUGAAGCCUUUCCCCAUGAAGCAGAUGAGAAAAGGAUCCAGACUUCUAGGGACUGGAUGAAAGGAUAAUGGCAGCAUGCUGCUGCCAUACAGCAAUAGCUGCAUUCUCCAGCCACCAGGAGCAGGGCACAAUCUCAGUGUCUCCCCUUUUGUAGCCCAGGGUAAAACUGUCUCCAGGAAGUAAAACCUCCUGUCUGCAUGACACUCACCUGAACACAGCUCUGCCUUUGCCUCUGAAAGGCAUCCCUGGAAAAGCAGUGCCUUUCCUUUCAACCAGGAACUUCACUUUCAGCAAGCAAUCUGCCUCCUGUCCUACUGCAGUGUUCAAAAUCUCACAAAGGCUGAGUUGCUGAAGCUAAAGCCUGCAAUCUGAAGCCCAGUUUUCCAGGAAGAGGCAAAUGAUGAGCUGUGGUUAUCAUAAUCACCUUGGUGUGUGUGUGAGUGAGCGAGAGGGCUGCUGAGCCAGAGGAGAAAAGGGAGCAAAGAUAGAGAAAAUGAAGAAAAAUGGCUGGGGCAGCACAGCAGCAGUUAAAACAUAGAACUGACAUUACUAAUAAUCACAAAGCAAAGAAAUAACAAAGCUAGAGGAAAAAAAAUUCCUGGACUCUACAAUGAAGUCUCUGCAGCUAGAACAACUUAUUUUCCCUAAGCAGUAGGGCUUUCACUUUGAGCCCACUGAUGAGUUCUGAUGCAGAAACAAGGGCAGCAGGAUUUGGGAAACCUGGACAGACAGCUUUCCUGCUCUGACACUCCUUAGAAAGGUCCCAGUAAGUGAGUGAGUGUCUAUGGAGGGAUUUGUCAGAGGUUGGGCCUGGACAGCCACAAGUCAAGGCCAGCAGGCCCAUGGCUGUGGCAGUGACCCCUUGGUUCAUCUCCAGUCACUGGACUCUGGUUUCUUCAUUUUACACCUCUUGCUACCUGCUGUGGGAAUGAGUGCCCCUCCAUACUGUUGCAUGAUAGAACCAUAGGUGCCAGUGUGAAAUGCACAACAAAUACCACUGUUGGUCUUCAGUCUGUGACAGACAGUACAGGGAGCAGGAGAAAAUACCUCAAGUAUAGGAUGUAAAUGUGUCUCAGGCCUUCCUCCUGGAUCCUGGCUCAUAGCUUCCUUCAAAAAGCCCAGAGCAGCACUGCUGGUCUCUGCAGGCUGCGCGUAGGGAUGAGAAAGCAACACUGAGUGCAUAUACCACUAGAAACCCGUGCUGGGUUACCUGGUUAUUGCUGCAAGGGCCCACGAGGUGGCAAUAGCAGGACACUGCUCCCUGCUCAGACACAGCUCCCACGUAGCAUUUUGGUCUGUCUUUUUGCCAUUGAAACAACGAAGAUUUUAUUAACGAUCGGGGUGCAAAAAUGUUGCUCACAGCUGACAGUUUCUACUCGGUCAAUCUCACACUGUGAAAUAAGUGCCUGGUACAUCACUAGUAAGCAAGCACUACAAAAUUUACUGAAAGCAUUUGGUGCCAGCUGGGAGGACUGGCAUAUACGUGGUUGUCGCCGGUAUGGCUUUGACGUGAUGUGCAUAACAAUCGUGCUGUCUUCCCUGGCACAAGAGCUGUACCUGAGAGUAGGGAGGGACAAUUUUUAAUCAUCUCUGCUUUGCUGCUUGCACUUUUUUUGACUCGUUUAUUUAAACUACUAAUUUGUCAAGCCACAGAGCUUGCAGCUGCCUGUGAACGAAGCUCCAGUCUCACCUGGAUCUUUAAUGCCUGCAAGGCAAAUAAGGCUGAUAAAAUUCCCAGGUGAUGACGGUUACUCUGACAUCCCAUCUCAGGAGACAGGUGGUCCACCUCAAGUAUAUAAAGGAUCCUCCUUGCUAACAAUAAAAAUCAGACCAAGCCAAGGAUUUGGGAGUGCCUCGAAGCAGCUUUCUGUAAGAAAACCUACCCACCAACAACUUUUACAAGGGCAGAAGGACGAGCUGCUUGGCUGCUGUCUGUGUGCUGGAAAAGACAAGGUAUGUGACAAGCUGCUGUGUGAAUGGGGGCUGUAUCAUUCUGACAGAUAUGAUGUACAGAAGUAUGGACUGAACAUUCAGUUUUGUAGUCCGAGAGCAGUACCUUGAAACACUUCCAGAACCACCACAGUGCACUGUCAGGAAGCACUGCUGAAAAGUGCUGCCGGUAGGAAGCCGGUCCCAGACUUGUUUAAUGUAAAUAAGGAGUGUGUUGUCCCAGGUUGAAGUAGUCACUAAGUGGUGUCAAAUGCUGAACUGAAAUUGUGCUUUUUAUUAAAUACAGAGCAGAGAGAAAAGACAAGUCAGACCAAAAUCUAAGAGCUGUAGGAGUUAUCCCCCAAGCACUAUUAUCAGAGUACAUCUCAGGGUCUGUAUCUCCUCCUUUACCACUGUUGUAGAAGUCUUUCUCCACUGCUAGGAGGAAACUUUGGGUAAGGGCUCAAUAGCAGGUGUGAUAAAGAACCUAGUAGCUCCAUAGCUUGUGCUAAGCCCUGGCUGAAAUGACCCACUGAGCCAAGCAAACAGCCUGUGUGCAGCCACACUUGUCUCAACUGUCAGCAGGAAAAUGGGAUCUGCUGGUAUAAACAAUCGUCUUUAAUCCUUUUCAACACAACCCUUGUGGUUAGGCUGCGCUCAGCUAUAGCUGUGUAGAGAGCUGGGAGCUGAUUUGUUUUGAUGGGAAUUAAGCAUUUUCCUAAGAUCUCUCCAUGUGUUGCUGUGCUCAAACACUGUAGAUCAGAGAUGGCAGCCUCCCUGGUUCCCAUCUGACCCCAUCUCUUCCCCAGGCUUCUCUGUCAGAGCUGGGAGGUAGCUGGGUUUCACUUUGUCCCAGCAGAGACUGAAGUGUCAAGGUUGCCUGGUCAGUACGUGCUGCCUAUGGAGGUUUCCAGGGGCUGGUACACAGCUGCUUACAGUUUUUUUUCCAUCACAGUUCACAGAUGGUGCUAGGACUCCUAAUUGCCACCAGGUUGACCAAAACACAUCUCCUCUCAGUCCCUGUAGGAGUCUAGCUACUAUUGCCCCCAAGUGCUUCCAAGUUUUUUUUGCCCUUAUGAGUAAAUACUUGCAACCAAGCUGAAGUCAAUUGUCAGCUCUGCUGGCAGAAAGGAUUUAGCAUCAGAGAAGGAUCUUGGUUUUGUUCUUGAUUCACUGUAUGACUUUACAAGUGAUAACAAUUUUGGCCAGAAAUGAUAUGAGAUGAGGUAUUGGUAGUUGUUGAUUAAAAAGCAAGAUGUGUCUCAAUCUACAGAAGGGUCACUCUCUCACACUGGCUCUCUGACUACUUCUUACCCAAGAGACUCUUGAGCAGACUUUGCUGGCAUGGGCAGUCAGGUUUCCUUGCUUGCUGUCCAUAAAAAGAGAGCUCUUACUGGCACUGGAAUGGUCACAGCACCUCAAGCCUGCCCUGCUCCUUUGUUUCAUUAGAAUAAAGAUGUUUCUGUUGCUUCAGGUCACGUCAGGAGCCCAAAACAUAGGACGUUUCCCAAGUAGAUGCUUAAAGUGACCCCUUGGAUAGACAAACAAAUACAUGACAGUAGUUGACCAAAAGCCACAGUUUGCAUCUCCAGGCUGUGCAGCAUGUACUAAAGGCUGUGAGAUGGCAUGCUGGAGGCUGUCUGGCCAGGACUGUCUACAGCUCCCUCCCUGCUGGCAGUGCUCCGCCUUCUGGGACAGUUCUGGGGAAUUUGCUGACAUGAUUGAGGGUGAUGGAGAGGGAGCACAGGAGCUGACUUGUCUGGAGUGGGGAACUGCAGCAGAGCCAAGUCUGGAGAGAACACGGGCAAAAUUGUAUUGCUGAUUUUGUUCUUAAAGCUUAGUUCCAGGCUGCUGGAGGUUUUAGGCUGUGAACUCUGCACUGCUUCUGAGAGCAGUGUUACAGGGAUGCUUGUGCACAGCUCUGCACCCAAAAUGAGAGUAAUCAAGAAAACUUGCACUAACGUGGGUUCAUUCUAGUAGGGAAAGGUAACACAAUGCUGUUACGUUGUUUGUCCCAUCACCACUCAUACAUGUGAAGGGCCUUGAGAGCAACUUGAAUAUGAGAUAGAAACAGAAGAUGACAGACAUCAAGUACAGUGAUAAUAUGAGCACAGGGGCUUGGGAUUGUUUCACUUCCAGAAGAGAGGAGAGGUGAUUUACUAACCUAAGCUGGGGGGAUGGUGGGGCUUGGCCUUGGAGCACAGUCCUUCCUCAGCUCUGUGCCACCAUCAAGUAGUGUUUGUGCUUGAACGAUGUUGUCUUGGCACACCCCACUGGCUCAUAUCCUGCUGUGUUCUUCCACAGCCCUGGUGAACUGCAAAAGGGGAGCAGGGGAAAGUGCCUCAGUGGCUGGAGGAGAGCAGGCUCCUGCCUGUGACCCACUUUGGUGCCCCCACCAGAGCACUUGUUGAUGGCCCCUGACUCCUGGUAAUCCCUGCUCAUGGGAAUAUUGAGUUUUCUGUUUGCUUUGUAAGUGUAAUUGGCCAAGACGCUGUGAAAGGAGGAGAGAGUGCUGUAAGGAGAGGUGUUAAAGAAAUAGGAAAACAUUUAAGAGUGCUUUAAGUCAAUUUCCCUGAUUAGUACUUUGAUGAUGGAAAGAAGCUACUUUAAAUCUGUGCAGUUGCUCUGGGCCACCACAUCCAGGUCCCUGUACACAUGCACACAGAUGGCAGCAGCAAGCCCUUGGCAUUACCCCUAUUUCUCUUCCAAACCACGCACUGUAGUCUUGAGUUACAAAUCUCCUCUGGCUUCUCGCUCUUGCUGCAAGGGAUAUGAGGAGAAUGAAGAACCUCAGACAAAAUAUUUAUUCUGGGGAGUAAUCGGUGCCCAAGGCAGGCAUUGGGCAGAAAGGGAGAUGUCUGAGAAGGACACCAGCUAUGGAUGUAACCAGCUGAGGGACAACCAGGAAAAGAAGAAAGAUGGCAUCUGCAUGAAAGUGUCUGCUGUUAUCAACUCCAAGCAUGCAGAACAUCUCUCUACACAAACACGCACAAAAGAAAUCACAGCAGUUUUGGAGAAAAGAUUGUUUAAAAUAAUCCUGUUGUUGGGACCCUCUUCAUUUGUUCCUGGCCAAUGAGCCUGUAGGCCUCUUGCAGCUCACAUUUCCUAGCCUGUUAUGGGGUCAAACAUGGUGUGAUAACAGUUAAAUGAGAAAUAAGAGUCAUGACUGUGGGAGCUAAGGCCUGGAGAGGAAAAAACCCAAACAAACCAUAAAGCUGAACAAAAGAAAGUGCCAGCUAUUCCCACGUUCCUGAUAACAUCAUCUGAGGUGGCAACACUGGACUUCAUUAAAAGCCUUGCUGAACUUUAGGGUCAGGCUCAAAAAAACGACAGCUCUUUCCUUUGUGCAUUUGUUCCUGCGUGCCUGGGGGGUGACGUGUGGCUGAUUAUUAUUGCCUGGGUGAUGGCUAUCUGUACGCCGAUCUCAGAUACCAAACAGGCCCUGGGCUAGCCUCGUCUCCAUGUUUCAAAAUCCCAGCAUGGUCUGUGUGGAGGUGGUGGUACACUUACAUUUCCAAUAUAUUUACACUGCAUUUACAUUUACAUUUCCUUACAUAAAGUGGUUCCCACACUGGAGGGAGCAGAUUUUCCAGUAUCCUGCAGGUGUGUUAUUUUUUCUCUCCCCUGCCUUUUGUCACCCACAAUGGCAUGUGAGCAAUGUGAUUUUCUGCUCCUGACAAUGUUGUGCCCUGAUCCACCCCAGAUAUCUGUACCAAGGCAAGAAGAUGGUGCAGGAGGCCUUUUGCAGGCAGUAGUGGCACCAGUGCUGUACUUGCUGUUUGUGAGACAGGUGUACAUCAACAAAAGCAAACUCUCUCUGACUAAAGGGAACCUUUGCCAGACUGUGUAUCUUUCUCAAACUCCAUGCUAGAAGAAAGAAAGGACCAGGACUGCUGUCACAGAUUUACCUUAACUGAAACAGGCUGUGUUCUCCUGAACAUACACAAGUGUCAGAGGCUCAGCUCUGUCCCUGGUCAUCUGUCAGUCACUUCUUUCUGCUCCUUAUCCCCAGGAGCUCAGGAAUGGGCUGUCACUUUUCAACUGGACUUUGUAGAAGAGUCCCAGAGGGAUUUUUCUUGCAUGAGUUCAGGAGAAUUCAUGCAGUGGAAGGAGAGUCCUUAUAAGAGCCUCUGCUGAGGACUACCUGGAUGGUAUUACACAGUGAAGAAUCCACUGUGGGAGCACACUGAUAAAACACCCUCUGUCCAGAGAAAAAACUUUGAUUAAACCUCUAGCUGACUGUGAAAAACUGAUCUGUAGGAAACCUAUUUUUUACAUGAAACAUAAAGCUACUUGUAUUUAUUUAUUUGACUGAUUGUUUUAGUUGAUAAAUUAGCUUUUCUCAAUUCCUAGUUGUCAUUAAACUUUUUUUAUCUGGAGGGCAUCGACAUAAAUAAUAGCAGCACCCAUUAAGCCUGUUCCUGAUCAGCCUGGCUGGACUCUGCAACAAUAGGGCAGGUGCAGCUGGGAAGGAAAACACCUCUGCCCAAAGGCUGCAGCAAGGUGAGGAGCUACGGGGAGAGUGGGGAAGUCAUCAGAGUGUACUGGGCAGGAAAGCAUUGCCUGCAAGGCUGUCAUUGCCCCUCAGGACCAGGACAAGAAGGGUUUAGAGAGGGGUGCCUGGAGAGAAGGCUGAAUAACAGCCAAGUUAACCCUUCACAUGCUGGCAUUUUCCAGGCGGUGAGCCAAAUGACUGCUCAGGAAGAUGUAUAUAACACAUGUCUGCAGUCUCCAAAGGGUUAUUAACUGUGCAAUAAUGGCCAUGAAACUUGGCUUCCUUGAAAUACAUUUAAAAUUGAAAAAAAAAAAAAAAAAAAAAAAAACAUUGGCUUUAGAGGGGGACAGGGUUUUUUUUUCCUAGAAACUGUGGGGCCAAAUGUACUCCCUGAUAUUGAAAGGAGGUGGAUUCCCCCACAAAAAGGGCUGGGGACAGAGAAUAAAUGUAGCCAUUUCAACAGGACUCCAGCUGCCUCCCACCACAUGCAUUAUUGUUAUCAAUAACAAUGUCAAGACAUUUCUGAAAAGCCCAUGGUGUUAAAUUAAUAAAGAAGGUCCGUAUCUCAGUGGGGCUUUGGGAUUUGAAUUCAAUAAAACCACUGCUGCUCCUGAGACAAUUUCCUCUUUUGUUGGAUGGGUACCUUUGCAGGGAUUUGUCCCUCUCUCCUGGUUCCAGCCUUUGCCAACACCAAGGCCUGCCCGUGCUAUUACACCUGUUGCAGCCCCAUGGGCCCCUGCCCAGAGGCUCUGCAUCUUUGUGAUGCUCUGAAGACCAGUUCUACACCAGCGUGGUCUGUGCUGGCCAGCUCAGCCACUGAGUCCUUCCAUGCAGUAUGUUACAGACUUCUUUUUAUUAGUGACCCUCUUCCCCCACACUAUUAAAUUAAUUCUUUCUCUGCAUUAUUAUUUUGGCAGAGGCAUUUGGAAGGUGGGAGAAAGAAUCUACCAAAUGCUUAAGCAAAUCUGCGACCCCCCACUCAAACCUUUUUGAGGGAAAAGACAUGGCACUGACUUCGGUCCCUUAGCAAAUGAAGACAGCUGGUGGUCUGCAUUUAAACGUGGCUGUUCGGCGCUCAGGCCAGGUUUGGCAGCUCACAAAUCAGAUUGCCUCUUGGUUCUCAGGAGUGGAGAAUUGCCACGAGUGGAAGAGCUGAGGGGAAGUUGCUGCCCAUAACUGCUGUGCCAGCAUGGGCUCUAGGCUUGCGGGGAGGCACUGAAGUUGUUGGUUCAGGAGAGAAAUUCAGUUUCUGAGGCUUUAAUGUUAUGUGACAUUAUUGGCAUAUGGCAAGGUGGUCCCAAAUGGUAUUUUUCUCUCAUAUGGAUGGGUUGUGAGCCAGUCCUUUUGCUUUGGUAAUUUAUUUCAUGCUAGAGCAUAGACUGUGUCUUAAAAGAGGCAGGAAAACACAGAGCUAUUAAAUCUCACCUGGUCUCAUGUUAAGAAAGUGAACUGAAGAGUGGGUCCUGGCUUUGCUCAGAUUUUGUCUGCUGGGAACUGGCUGCAGAUACUCAGUUUCACUCUUACUGCUGACCACAGGCAAUGUCCUCCCAGUGCUGCUGCGCUGGCAAGAUGAGUUUUCUUAUGAUUCCUUUUGCCUGGGACUGCCAGAAUGCC
rnacentral:lncRNA from 1 species